rnacentral:rRNA from 1 species
GUGUAGUGUGAGGUGAUGUGUGCUUAGUGUAGUGUGUAGGCCCUGCGAUGGAUAAGAGCUACGCGAAGGACGGGGAGGCAAGUCGGAACAUGGUAAGUG